AACGCGAAGAACCUUACCAAGUCUUGACAUCUGCCUGACCGCACCUUAACCGGUGCUUUCCUUCGGGACAGGCAAGACAGGUAGUGCAUGGUUGUCGUCAGCUCGUGUCGUGAGAUGUUGGGUUAAGUCCCGCAACGAGCGCAACCCUUAUCCCUAGUAGCCAGCAGUGAGAUGGGCACUCUAGGGAGACUGCCAGGGAUAACCUGGAGGAAGGUGGGGAUGACGUCAAAUCAUCAUGCCCCUUAUGAUUUGGGCUACACACGUGCUACAAUGGCGUAAACAAAGGGAAGCGAAGGCGUGAGCCGGAGCAAAUCUCAAAAAUAACGUCUCAGUUCGGACUGUAGUCUGCAACUCGACUACAUGAAGCUGGAAUCGCUAGUAAUCGCGAAUCAGAAUGUCGCGGUGAAUACGUUCCCGGGUCUUGUACACACCG
rnacentral:rRNA from 1 species